UGGGGAAUAUUGCACAAUGGGCGCAAGCCUGAUGCAGCCAUGCCGCGUGUGUGAAGAAGGCCUUCGGUUGUAAAGCACUUUCAGCGAGGAGGAAGGUGGUGAGCUUAAUACGCUCAUCAAUUGACGUUACUCGCAGAAGAAGCACCGGCUAACUCCGUGCCAGCAGCCGCGGUAAUACGGAGGGUGCAAGCGUUAAUCGGAAUUACUGGGCGUAAAGCGCACGCAGGCGGUUUUGUUAAGUCAGAUGUGAAAUCCCCGGGCUCAACCUGGGAACUGCAUUUGAAACUGGCAAGCUAGAGUCUCGUAGAGGGGGGUAGAAUUCCAGGUGUAGCGGUGAAAUGCGUAGAGAUCUGGAGGAAUACCGGUGGCGAAGGCGGCCCCCUGGACGAAGACUGACGCUCAGGUGCGAAAGCGUGGGGCAGCAAACAGGAUUAGAUACCCUGGUAGUCCACGCUGUAAACGAUGUCGAUUUUGGAGGUUGUGCCCUUGAGGCGUGGCUUCCGGAGCUAACGCGUUAAAUCGACCGCCUGGGGAGUACGGCCGCAAGGUUAAAACUUAAAGGAAUU
rnacentral:rRNA from 1 species